rnacentral:rRNA from 1 species
UGAGGAAUAUUGCGCAAUGGACGAAAGUCUGACGCAGCCACGCCGCGUGCAGGAAGACACCCCUCAGGGGCGUAAACUGCUUUUGUACGAGAAGAACACCCCGCUCGGCGGGAGCUGACGGUAUCGUACGAAUAAGGACCGGCUAACUCCGUGCCAGCAGCCGCGGUAAUACGGAGGGUCCAAGCGUUGUCCGGAAUCACUGGGUGUAAAGGGUGCGCAGGCGGGCUUGUAAGUCAGGGGUGAAAGCCACCGGCCUAACCGGUGAACUGCCCUUGAUACUGCAAGUCUUGAGUCCUGGAGGGGCUGUCGGAAUUCGUGGUGUAGCGGUGAAAUGCGUAGAUAUCACGAGGAACACCGGAGGUGUAAACGGACAGCUGGACAGGUACUGACGCUCAGGCACGAAAGCGUGGGGAGCGAACAGG